rnacentral:lncRNA from 1 species
GUUGCAUCCUCCUCACGAGCCUCCCGCGACGGGAUUAGCCACAUUUUACCAACGAAGGCCUCCACCCUCCCGGAAGACAGCAACUGGCCCAAGGUGACACGGCUGGGAAGGAAGAGUGCAGGGAUUUGAAUCCAGGACUUUUUUUCUCUUUUACUCUACUUCGCGUGGCCCCUGGCUGCUAGGGUGCUGGGGAACCUGCCCCAGUGCGACCUGUGCGGUGGCUCCGUCCUGGUUGUGCCUCCAGGGGACCGGCUGCCGUGAUGCAGGUCAUUUUCAUAGUUGGGUGAGGAGACGCUUCAGACGUGCGAUGAGCCACAGCCGGUAGCUGGUUCUCUCCUGGGAUGCGCAUUUAGAUCCCCAUCUUGUUGAUCCCAAAGACUCUACCUGCACCCAGGAUCCAAAAGUUUUAAUGUAGGAGAACCACAGCGUCCCUUUGUAAUUGUGGGUAAGCACAUCUUGUUUCUAUAACUUUCGGGUUGAUCUGCUGAUCUAAUCAUGCUGUUCCUUGGGCCAAAUCUAACCCUGUAUCGUAAUGCUCCAGACAAAAGAAAGGGCUGUUUCCUGGAGGCCUGUGGCUUCUUUGGUCUGUGGAAGGUCUGCUGAAGUAGACCCUGAGCAAGAGAGAAGGAAAGGGAAGUACUAGGGUGAAGAGGAAGGGCAAGCUGCUCCCAGAGGUGAACCCAGAAAUGCAUGUCAGUACAAG